rnacentral:tRNA from 1 species
GGUUUUAUAUUCAAUAAUGAUUCUAGGCUGCAAUCCUAGGGGUGUAAAUUUGUUUACUAAGGCCU